rnacentral:rRNA from 1 species
UAGGGAAUCUUCGGCAAUGGACGAAAGUCUGACCGAGCAACGCCGCGUGAGUGAAGAAGGUUUUCGGAUCGUAAAACUCUGUUGUUAGAGAAGAACAAGGACGUUAGUAACUGAACGUCCCCUGACGGUAUCUAACCAGAAAGCCACGGCUAACUACGUGCCAGCAGCCGCGGUAAUACGUAGGUGGCAAGCGUUGUCCGGAGUUAUUGGGCGUAAAGCGAGCGCAGGCGGUUUAUUAAGUCUGAUGUGAAAGCCCCCGGCUCAACCGGGGAGAGUCAUUGGAAACUGGGAGACUUGAGGGCAGAAGAGAAGAGUGGAAUUACAUGUGUAGCGGUGAAAUGCGUAGAUAUAUGGAGGAACAACAGUGGCGAAGGCGGCUCUCUGGUCAGUAACUGACGCUGAGGCUCGAAAGCGUGGGGAGCAAACAGG